rnacentral:rRNA from 1 species
GAGAGUUAAACAGUACGUGAAAUUGUUGAAAGGGAAACGAUUGAAGCCAGUCGUACCUUCGGGUAAUCAGCCUUUCGGGUGCGAUUAUGUGGAGUGUGAGGAGCUUAAACACCUUCAUGUUUUGCAUAUUCGUACUCUUGGGUGUACUUGCCCGUGUGGUUGGUUAACAUCAAUUUUGGUGGUCAUAAAAUGACUGGGGGAAUGUAGCUUCGAUCUUGUAUUGAAGUGUUAUAGCCUUCGGUAGAUGUGAUGAUCGAGAUUGAGGAUUGCAACGGAUACCCUUUGGGGCUACCUGUCUGAUCUCUGAUCGUUGCUUUGGUGCCGAAAGCUUGCUUACGGUUAUCAAAGUCGAUGGUCAAUAGGUUAGAACGGGUUAAAUUCGUUAAGGAUGUUGACGUAAUGGCUUUAAACGA